CGGUAAUACCAGCUCUCCGAGUGGUAGGGACGAUUAUUGGGCUUAAAGCGUUCGUAGCCGGCCUGGAAAGUCUCUCGUCAAAUCCAGCGACCCAAUCGCUGGGCCGCGGGAGAUACUACUAGGCUUGGGAGCGGGAGAGGCCGACGGUAUUCCCGGGGUAGGAGUGAAAUCCUGUAAUCCCGGGAGGACCACCAGUGGCGAAGGCUGUCGGCUAGAACGCG
rnacentral:rRNA from 1 species